UGCGGGUGGGGGCAUGAGGCGGCGACCGCGGGUGCAUGGUGUAAGAUGCUAGUGCGACCAGCUGAGGUAUGGUUUUCAAAUUUCAACUCCAUGGCAUGGUUUUACACUUUACAAUCUGGAUUAAUGGACUUGAUUCUACUAUUCUAGCCAAUGGAAUCUGCAUUUAUACGUUUUUUAGGGUUAGGAUCCUAUAAUUGCAAUAUUAACGACCUCUAAUAUAUCUUAACUAUGAUGACAACAUUAGGUGAGACCAUGUACGAUCAUAGAUUUUUGUAAACAAUUCGCUUUACAUGAAUUUUUUCAGGUCCGUGUAAUCAUAGAGCCUGGUUCCUGCAUAAUUCCCUAGCCAGGCUUCCACAAUACAAGUUGGGCCUAUUUGGUUGCCUGGUCGGCCUCUUAGCCAGGCUUGCAGAAGCCUAACUUGUAUGGAUUUUCUGACUUCCUGAGAACGCCCGAUUCGGCCUUCUCCGCAGAGCCAGGCUUGGCCCGGCCUUGCGCGCCCCCUCUCGUUGGUUCGCUCACCCCUUCGCACCAGUUCCCACCCCGAUGCGAGGUCAGGAAGGCCGCCGGAGAGCCCCUUCCCCUGGAGCGAGAUGGUGGCGACCCUGCUGCGGGCGUCGCAGGUCACCCCCUCGAAGUAGUCCCCUCGGCCUCAGGGGUCGCUGUCGCGCGCCUCGACGGGUCUAGCGCCGCCUUCAGCUCCAUCAGCGCGUCCAGCUCGGCAUUCCGCGAGGGUGUGGAGCAGGAUGCAGCGGCGGCGGUGCAGAGGAGCAGGAGCGGAAGGAGGGAGCUCCUUGACGCCAUGGCCGGAGGGCGAGUGCAUCCGACGGUGCAGAGGCCGAUGGAUCCGACGGUGCAUUCCGGAUUCGUUGGUGGCGCAGAUCUGACGGCGCUCACCUCCUCCCCCACGUGGAGAGUGGAGGCGUGUCUCCAUCGGCAUCGAGGUUGUGCCAUGGCCGAGACGAGCCCACCUCCGGCCUCGACAGUGCCUCUGCGCUCCAGAUCGUCGGCGCGCUCUGCGCCAUGGCCGAGACGCGUGGACGCACCGUGCUGCUCAGCAUCCACCAGCCAAGAGCGCGCAUCGUCAAGAUGUUCGACUCUGUCCUCCUGCUAGCCGCCGGCUCCGUCCUCCACCAGGGAACCGUCGACCAGCUCCGUGCCCUGCUCGGGGAUGCGGGCCUCCAUCGACUAUGUGGACGCACUCCGCCUCCACCACUGCCACGCUGGUCUGCAGGCGCCGCCUCCCCAGCCCUAGCCCCAGGCGUUUUCGUGCUGACAACAUGUUCGACUAAAGUUCUGAAAUGAGGUAAAAUUACCAGGUGAAGGAAGAGGUGAGUCUAUUCAAACUAAACCAGGCAACCAAACACACCGAUUCUUAGCCAAGCUUAGCUAGUAUAUGCAACCAAACAUGUGCUACUUGCAUUAGUUAAAGCUGGCCAGAGCUAGCCUGUCUUAGUUUUGCUAGCCAGGCUUAUCUAAGAAACGAACCAAACACACCCAUAGUGAAUGUACACUGAACUAUCACUGGGUGACAUGCCGAGCUGUAUGUCCUUGCGGUCGGUAAACCUUGUUGAGUACUUUUCUUCACAAUGUAUGAAGCCCAUAAAACCGAAAUUGAUAUAAAUCCACGACCUUGACGAUUAAGAGAAAAAAGACAUGUAUUAUUAUGAUGUGAGUCUUCCUUAUUAAACUUUAAACUUACUCUGGAGGCAUUCCCUUCAAGGAUGGCCUUCACUCCGGCUAGACCUUAUUUUGGUCUUACCCUGAGUCUAAUCUCUAGAGAGCACUUUGCUAGGUCUUGUUUCCUACUAGAACAUCAGGUGCCCUUCGGACGUCCUACCAUGAUUAUUUGACAAACUUAUAACUAUUAAACCAUAUGGCCAAAAUUAUAACAAAGAUUUUCUCGCUUCAAAAAAGAACAAAACUAUUUGUAUUUUUAAGCGUAUACAAUCUAUAACAGAUAACACAACAUUCGUAUACCUGAAGACUGGAGACAAUUAAAAAAGGAAGCUAUAUAGUGCUGGCUAUGGGUGUAGCAUUGCAGAAGCAGCUAUAGGAGCUGCAGCCACCAACAGCAUGUUGUGUGCCAAGCAGCCGUUCUGUAGCAGUUGUUUUAAGCUGCACCUGCACCAUUACGCUGCCACAAAAACUGCUAGCAACAAACCAUUGACAUAGCAAAUGGCAAGAAUAAAUUAACAUUAUGGUCUUUGAAUUUGCAGACAACAAAAUCUGUAUAAUAUUAUGGUUCCAUUACUGUUUAGGUUCUCAGAAAAAACGAUCAAUUAGCAACAACAUAUAAGAAUUAGAUGGCACAUCCAAUUAACACUGCUUGCUAUGAUGGUUCAAAAUACUAAACAUCCAUAGGAUUACAAGAAGUUCUGACGACAGAAGAACAUCCAUAGAAAAUCUUGAUCAGACAGACUAAAUUCAAGUCAGAUAAUAAAAAAGUUGGUAUACAAUGUGCUCACAACAUUUCCCGGUCCAGGCCCUCUACGUCCAUUUCCUAAGAUGGCUCCGAUGAAUAAUAUUCAGUCCAUGUGGUUCCUUCUCAGAGCAGGUCAGAAAAGAGGGAGCAUCCCUGCUCAGUAGCUCGGGAUUGUUGAAGGACCAUAUGAAUACAUCGCUGCAAUGGUGAUAAGCAACAAUAUCAAUUCUUAGUCCAUUGAUUUACAAUCUGACUGUUUAGAGUUCAAAUUUCAGUUUAGCACAUGCCUAUCUUUUGUUCUUGGUAGACAGAUUGCAGAUGGAGAAGUAUGUGCAUUGUAGAUUUCAGCUCUUUUUAUACCAAAAUAUGUAGUUGAUUGUAACGCCCCGCAUUUUCACUACCAAGGUAAAAAUGCUAGUUUAAGGAUUAUUACCCGACAGAGUGAUGUCUUCUCGAAUAAUGACCCUAAUCAAAGUGAUGCAACAGGACGAUAGUUAGGACCUUACAAAAAAAAUUGUCACAUUUAACUAAAAACAAUUAAUAAACAUUAUCUAAACAAAAUAAUAGCAAACCUUCACAUUAUAUUUGAAAAAUAUUUGUAUCAUGUAUUCCUCCAGUGGCUCCCUUUUGAUCAAAUUCUUGGCCUAUCUCAUCAUCAUAUAUUAUCUCUUCUCAUCUGAAGGGGGAGGGUUAUAGCAAGAGUGAGUACAAAGUACUCAACAAGCAUAUAAUAAAUCAAAUGAAAUGCAUUCCUAUCCAUUUGUCAUAUCCAUUCUCAUUCAUAGGAUCAUUUAUCAAAAAGUUGCAUAUUUUAGAAAAAUAAGUAAGAAAUCUAUUAUCACCCAUAUAGUGAGAUAGGACCUCCUAUAGGCCCCCUGUAACAUCCCAAAAAUUCACAUUCAAAAAUCACUCGCAUUAAAAAUUAUUUUCAAAAUAUAUUUCAAAAACUAUAAAAUAAUUUGAGCUCUAUAGUAUCUCCAUCUAAUCUAUCCAUAUUUUUUUCGUGCAUAAAUAACAGCGAGUACCAGCAAGCUUACAUGCAAGAAAACAUAGCAGUGCACCUACACGAAUAUAUAUCUUAUGCAUGCAUGCAGGACAUGCCACCAUCCAUUUGCAUACACCUGCAUGCAAGGACACGGUGAUUAGGCACCGUCCAUGCGCUACAGUAGCAUUUUUAAUGGCAACGACCUGAGCACUCUGGCCUAUAAAAAGGCACUCUCGGGUGCUCACUCUCACCACCCGAGAAGCACGUUCACUCACUCGCUCACUCACUCUCACUUCGCGUAUACCGUAUACGGCCAUACGCACAAGCCGAGCUCGACUGUCGUCGCAAGACGAGGUGAGCAGCUCAUGAGCAUCUCCUUGCUCUUCUCUGUCUUUCUGUAGUAUUUUUCCUGUAUUUUUUUUCUUGUAUUUAUCUGUACCGAUUCACUGCUAAGAACUCCACGAAUAGAACCAUGACAUACAGAAGAGCUCUAAUGACCCCUGCUAAUUUCUCUCUAACCAUGUAUGUGUGGGCCAUAAGCAUUAACUUCAAAUAGUACAUGCAUGCAUGCAACAUGCACUACCAGCCAAAAUUCAUCUCGUGAAGCAUGUAUUUCUUAAUCAUCGUUAGCCUUUUUCGCAUGAUUAAAUUCCGGCCAUUUCACAAAUGCCACAUGCUAACUCUGAUUUCAAUAAUUCUUUUUUCUAAAUUCAUCUAAAAUCAUGAUCUACCUUUCAUAUUAAUUUCAUGAUUUUUGGAGCUCAUUUGAAUUUAUAUGAUUAUUUAUCUGUGUCUGUUGUCUGUGUCGUUCGUCGCGUAUUUUAGUUGACGGAGUGAACGAGCCGGAAAACGAGAACGUUGGAAACGAGUACCGCGAGUUUGACGCCGAAGACCCGGACUGUCAGCAAGAGUUUGCUGAGGACGCCGACGGAGGCAAGUCCAACCGAUCCACUUUGAUGCAUAUUGAUCCUAUUUUUAAACACAACCCGUAGAAGCCGUUUUAAAUAUUGCAUGUACGAUAUAUGUACGAAGUAUUUCCGCUGCCUAGUUAAAACCUGUUGAAUAGCCAUCCUUGAAUUGAUAUUACCCGGUAAUUGUCUUGUUCAAACCUAGAAACAAAUAAUAUGCUAUGACAGAAAUAUUAUUAUUUAGUAUGUUUAGAACUUGUUACUCAUCCUGGAUACUCAUCGCUAUAUUUUUCAAAUAUAAUGAUUUUAAAAGUAAAAGGUGUGAGUGGUGAAAAUAAAUUAUGGGUAUUAUGAAAGGGUUAAUGAACAAGUUAUAGAUGUGAUUACUAUGGAGAUGGGGCGGAUGGGAUCUCUUUUGGGGAUGCCCUGGUGUUGUGGCUUAUACCUUGCGGGGUUAAGCGUGAAGAUAUCCGCCUUGUCUCGAUUAAGGACUGAGUUGAUGAUUCAUCUUGCCUAACUCAUUUAUCGUACAACCACUCGCCUUGCCUGGAAAAGGCUUAGUCUGAAUCCCUCUAGUUAGUAUGGCAAUCACCUGGAGGCAGGUGUGCAACGGGACACUAAGUGAUGUAUGUGAAAUUGUGGAAAUAUAUGAAAAGAGCUUUGUGAAUUAUUGUGGUAUCAUGAGAUGUGGCCUUAGUGUUCCCGUGGUGAGCGCCAUUACUUAGCUAUGGAGGGUAAUGACUUUGAUGGAUCUGUGCUUGCACGACGGUGUAAGUUAUGGUAUCUGUCGGUGUUUUUCCCCCGGGGGGUCACACCAACGAGUAAAUUUGUGUGCGUGCUCCCUUUUCCGGAUGGUGAUGCAAGAAGACACAAAGAUUUAUCCUGGUUCGGGCAAGAGAAGGUCCUACGUCCAGCGGGGGGAGAGAGUUUGUAUUAUCUUGCACCUAAGUGCUUGUACAGGGGCGAAUACAAGCGUGGUAUGAAGUGUGGAACUCUACUGCGUAUGAGCGUGGUCUUGUGUUGUCCUCCCCUUUCUAUUCCUGAGUCUCUCCUUUUAUAGCUCCAAGGAGAGACCUAGGGUACAUGCGUAGAUGUUAGAGUAGGGGUCGAUAGCCGCAUGGAGCGCCGACCUACUCGAGGCUUCCGUACGUCACGGCCUCGAGCCGUCCCAUCUUGAUAGCCCGGUGAUGAUUACGCGUGCUUCUGCGUCCUACCUUGCCCGCCGCCUUGCGCUAGUUCUGAGGUCGCACGCUUGUACGGUAUGGCGGCAGAUUCGGCGGGGUAGUUGUGGUGUUGUCGGUCGACGCCCAACUUGUCCCUAGGAAGGGACACUGUUCGGUCGAGGGUCGGACGCCAUUUAAUACGCUGAUAUCUGGAGCGCUGACCUUGGUGGCCUCGAGGGGGUCCCGAUUAGACGUUCCAUCCUUGUUUCCCGUGCCCUGGCACGCCCGGGGCCGUUCGGUGGGAAGGCUGCAAAAAGAACGAUGGGACGGAAGCCUCCCGUGGCCCAUGUGUUAGGUGGGGAAGCGUCAGGUGCAUUAAAUGCUCCGACCCGCGUGCGCGCGUCAGGCGGCGGACAGUGUCCUUGCGCUCGACGCCCCUCGGUUCGCUCGAGCCCGCUUCCGUAUUCGACGGCAGUUGCUGCUCGAGCCCUGGCCGAUUCGCUCGACGGUAUUUCCGUCUUCGAGGCUACGGCCGUCGAUGGUCGCCCGUGCGCACGGAUGGUGUCCUUAUACGCAUUGGUGAGGGUACCCCUUGUUGGUAUCCUCGACAGUAGCCCCCGAGUCUUCAUUCGAGCGUAGGCGCUCGAGUGGAGGCUUUGUUUUGCGGUCAAAUUUCCGUGGGGGCGCGCGAGCGACCCCGCGGGGGUAGCCCCCGAGCCCUCGGAGGAGUUUUUGACUCCUUCGAGGGUUACGUUGUCUAAUUCGCAGAAACGCUUUCGACACCAGUGGUGGAAGGUUCUGACUGGCUCGUUUUUGCCCGGGGGUUUCGACGUACUCUCGAUAGAGCGAGCGUCUUCCACCCCAAAUUGAGUUCCUAGCGGGUAGUCCAAGUGAGAACCCGUGCCCCUUUCGAGGGGGUCAGCUGUAGCCCGGAGGCGUCCUCAUAAAGCAGGGUCGACGUGGUCGGGGAUACCAGUCUCAUUCGAUAGAGACUGGCGGCUCGAUGCCUCCCGUCGGGGGGAUUCCUCUCGACUGUCUCGACCCUACCUUGAACAUCGCCAGCGAGACCUCGAGGCGGGCCUCGAUCUUCGACCGCUCGCUGGGGAUCCCUGACUCUGGCGCUCGAGAUCGGCUGUCGAACCCUUUCGGCGGGCCAGCCAUCGACCUCUCGAGACUUUUGUGGUUACGUCCCUUGGCUUACGAGGGAAGGAAGCGGCCGUGGCGGUUCGCCUUUCUGCCCGUUGGGCGUGCCUUUUUAGGCGGAUGACGUUACGACACUGUAUCGGCGGGGAAUUCGGAGAGUCCGACCUGUGAGGAGUGAGAGGACGAUUAGGUGGCGCAUUUAAGGGAGGGAGUUACCUUAUUUUUCGGAUUUGUCCGUUGGCGGACUGCUGCCUAUAAGUACGUCGUGGCGUCGCCGCCGUUCCUCUCCCUUCCGCCUUCUCGCUCUUAUUCCUUCGCCGUCUCACGCGCACAAGCCCCCUCGAGCUGUAGUAAACCCACCGUCCCUUCAGCCGAGAUGCCUGUAAGACUCGUCGCCGCCGACGACUGGCGCCCGUCGUCGAUGACGGAGCGCCGGCUGUUAGAGCUUGAGAGGGAGGGACUGCUGCGCCGCCGCACCUCGCUGUCGUCGCCAGAGUGGAUCGCGCCGCCGGCAAGUCACAGGGGGCCUCAGCCGCCCGAGGGCUACGUGGUGUCGUUCGCCAAGUUCCACCGCCACGGUCUGGGCGCGCCCCCAAGCCGCUUCAUGCGGGCCCUCUGCUUCCAUUAUGGGGUGGAGCUCCAGCACUUCUCUCCGAACGCCAUCACCGUAGCGGCGGUCUUCGCCGCCGUGUGUGAGGGCUUCCUGGGGAUGAUGCCGCACUGGGAGCUGUGGCUCCACCUCUACAGGGGCGAGCUGUUUCACGCCCCCACCGGAACUACGGGCGUGAGGAAGCCCGUGCGGGCGGGUUGCCUCAAUCUGGUGCAGAAGACGGGGAAGACGGACCGGCCGCGGGAGUACAUCCCGGUAGGGUUAUCGACCAACCACGCCGGCUGGGACUCCCAGUGGUUCUACCUGCGGAAUGACGACAACCUCCUGCCUUCCUACUCGGGCCGUCUGAUCUUGGAGCGUCCAGCGGACUGGACGUACGGCGUCGUCCAAGCUCAUCAGUCUCGGCUCGACCCCCUCCUCGACGCCCUGAAGAAGCUUCGCCAGGAAGGUUUGACCGCCGCCCUCGUCCUCUCGGCCGUCCAUCACCGGAGAGUUCUCCCUCUGAUGUCACGACCGUUGAGGAUGGAUGAGAUGGGCCCUGGCGCCUCAUCUCGGGACCUCGAGGCGUGUCGGAUGUCCAACGAGGCUCCGGCGGACGACGAAGUCGCGGCCCGAGUCAGAGCUGCCAUUGCCGGUGAUUUUCAGCCGGAGCAUGUCAACGGCUUCCCCAUGAGACCUGACGCAGGCUCGAUCGAUCUGGUACGCUUUCUUCUUGCACGCAUCCCCGACUCUGGGUUUCCUUUCUCCCCUCUCUUUUUUCCAAGUCUACUGUAGUUUUGGCAGGGUCGGAUUGAUGUCCGGUCCUCGAGGCCUCCGGUAAAGGAGGACGAGGUCGAUCGCGACAAACGGCGCCAAUCCGCCGAAAAGCUGAAGUCUGCCAAGGACUCUGCGAAGAAGGGGGAGAAGAAGAAGAACCUCGACCGCCAAGCAUUAGAGGCGCGUCGAGCCAAAUCCAGGCAGAGGGGGGAGCCUGAGGAAGAAUCCCCCAACGAUGAUGACGAUGACGACGAGGACAGCGACGACUCCGAGGGGAUGGCGUCGCGCCUCGAUCGGAUUCUCGAGGGCCCGCCUCGAGGUGACGUCGACGCCCCCCGGACGGAGGCGCCAGAGGAGGGUCCGAGCGGAUCUCGUCGUCCCCGGGCCGACACCCCUCCCGCGCCCAAGGCGGGCCAAGACGCACCGCGCCCUCCCCCGGUGCCCAGGGAGAGCGGUCCGGCUAGGUCCCAGGCGUCGGGGCCGCUAACUCGUGGUCGCGCCGCGGCCUCUGAGAAAGGAGACGCCGGCCGUAGGAGCGCGGGUCCCGGCGUCCGCCAGGCGGGGACCGACGUACCUAAGCCGGUUCGUGCCCUCGAGGGGCCUGGAGCCCCGACGCGGGGUGGCUCGAGGCCCGCUGGUCGGGGUGGCGUAAGGCGAGCCGUUCUCCCUGUGGGGUAAGCCUUUUUGAUGUUGCGGUUUCUGUCUUCCCAUUCUUCCACCUUUCCUCAUAUGCCGACCUUUUCUCAGGCUGAAGCGGACCCUUGAGCAGGCCCAACCGUCUAUGGCCAAGAGGCUCAGAACGGGUGCCGCCUCCAAGGAACCAGGUUCGUAGUUAAUUCCCGGGCGUCGCGAUGUUCUUGUGUUGGUUAUCAUAACGUCUGACCCUUACCCUUUGUUUUGUAGGCUCAUCCAGCCCUCAACCUCCAGCCGGCGUCGAGAGGGCUUCAUCUCGUCCCGCGCCUACUCCGUCGCCGCCGACUCAUGAUGCGGCCCCCCAGACGCGAGCGUCAGAGGGAGCCCCCGAGCCCCCUCGAUUGGGGGUCGAGGGGGAACCCAUCACCAUCAGCGAUACGUCUGAUGGCAACGAAACGUCUGGGGGCGCUCGCCCUAUGGAGGAAGAAGCGUCGACCCCCAACGUCGCGGGACGGACUCCCUGGCCUGCAGGCCUUCGAGCUCUCGAGGCGCAAAGGAAGAUGGAGGGGGAGGAGGAGCGGGAGCGCGAGGCGACGCCACCGUCACUGGAGCAGCAGCAGCAGCCACCCCAGCCGGAGGAGCAGCUGCAGCAUCAGCAGGAGGAGCAGCAGCAGCAGCUGGGGCAGCAACAGCAGCAGCAGCUUGGGGGUCAAGAGGACGAGCCACUCGAGCCCCCGCCUCAAGAUUUGGCCGAACCGGCGCCACUGGCGUCGCAAGAGCCCGGCGAUCAGGAGGAGAAUUUGCCGGUGUACGGACCUCCCACCCCAGCGUGGCUCCUCCCGGGGGCGCCUGCCGCGAUCCGGGCAGAGUCGGGGCGAGCGGACGGAGUGGUGGCGCUCGCCUGUAUGAUGCGCACCCCCACCGACCCCGAGUCCGAGAUUAAGAGGACGAUCUACGGCAUGGACGGGAUCGCCUCGGGGUUCCUCCGGGAGCGUCGAGCAUGGGAGGACCACUUUCCCUCUGAGGAGGACGAGAUUGGGUCGUCAGGGAGCAAGGACGGCACGUGGAAGACGGUGGACGACGACGGGCGGUUCCCUUGCCUCGCCGACCUGUUCUUGCGCCACGGGGGUUCUCUCGAGACCGUCGAGAACUUUAUCCGCGGCGUCAAGGCGCGGGCUGAUCGGGAGAUGGAGAACUGGUGUCCCGAUCGGAUUCGUAUCCGAGCUUCCACCGACCCGUCCGAGCCCAAUAUCUUCCUCGACGACAAGAAGGAGGUCGAGAAGUGGGAGCAUGUCGAGGAGCUCCGCCUUUGGAUGAAACACGUGGUGGGGCUCCUAUCGGACGUCAUCAACAACGGGCUCGGGCCAGCUUAUUUUGUAAGUGUUUCUUGAACUCCAAUCUUUAUGGUGCUUUCUGAUUUCUGUAUUCUAAUCCAUCCGACCCCUGAUUCGCAGGAUAUGAAAGAGACCUCUCGCAUCAAGUCCAGCUUCAUACAUGCCACGAGGGGCGGAUGGGAGCAGCUUCCCCUCCUCAAGGAUCAACUCCUCGAGUCGCAGGAAAAGCUGCUUAAAGCUUACAAAGAUCUCAUAGCACUCGAGGAGGAGAAGAAGGCGAGGGAGGCUGCUUUGGCCGAGGCCCGAGAGGUCUCGAAGAAGGCGGAGGAGGAGGCGAUGCAGCUACGGGAGCGGGCUCUUACGGUCGAGGAGGCCGCGUCCAGAGCCCGGGAGGAGGCCCUGUCCUACAAGAGCGUCAUUGCGGACCUGGACAAGGAGAAGGGCCUUCUCCAAACCGACCUGGAUUCCCUCCGCGAUUCCUUCCAGAAGAUGAAAGUGGCGUGCGUGGACAAUGAGGUCGCCAGGGGUGCCGCCGAGGACGCAAAGAAGAAGGCCCUUGAAGACCUCGAGAUGGAGCGAGCUCGAUCCCGCAGUCUCUCUGACGACGUCGAGCGUCUGAAGGGAGAAUUGCUGGAGAAGAGUGGAGCCGUCGCUCAGGCUGGCAGGGUGAUCGAAGAUCUCCGCGUCGCCAAUACUGAGCUGGCGCGCUCCAACAGAGAGAUCGAGCGUGCCAACACCAGAUUGGUCGGCGAGAACACGGCCCUAGAGGAGAGCAUCAAAGGUACGUUUCCUUUGUCGAAUUUCCUUUUCGAGGUGUGCUUGAGUUUUUCCUAAAGCUUCUUUGUAUUGGCAUUUACAGGGCUCAAGGACGAACUCCUGGCCGCCCAAGCCGAGGCUCGCAACGCCAAGGCUCAGCUCGAGGCUGAGGUUGCUUUGAACCGUCGAGUGCGGACGGCGAUAAGCGAUCUCUCGACCUCUUGGGAGAUCGAGCCUAUGGAUGAGUUGAGGGAGGACGCUCGAGGCGACGCCCUGAUCGAUCAGUUGUGCUACAUAGGCGCGACGCUGCGAGAUCGGGUGCGGGACGCCCUCCACAUCGGGGUGAAGCGGGCGAUGGCGGUUGUCUGCUCGGGCUUCUCCUACGACAUGGAGGUGGUGUCCCAUGGCUUCGUCACCGACAUCUCCAAGACCGACGCGGAGAACGAGGAGAGGCUUCAUGCCUUGAUCGACGACGCGGAGGCUCCUGGGGAAAGGUUGGCCAAGCUCUUCGAGCCUGAGGUGCUCCCUCCCGAGGCUAGCUCGGGCGGAGGCGAGGGCGGUGAGGAUCGUACCGCGGACUGAGGCCUGCGAGCCUGCUCAGGGCGCCUGGGGCCCCUUGUAUGAUACUUUAUUAAUUCUGCUGUUAGGUGAUACAGUAUCUUUUUGUGAUUGUUAAAUGCUUAUUUGUCUUUCCGUUCGAGGUUCUUUUGUUUCUCUUUGUUCCUACGUUUGUAUCCCUUGCUCGAUCUUUCGUCAAAAACAACCUCGAUUACCUCAAAGGUGAGGAAGUGAGUAGAGUUUCCGUAGCCCGGGGGCGUGGGAGUUCUCCGGCUCGUUAUCCCUCGGCCUUUGAGGGGCUCGAGGCGCCUUAGCUACUCGAACCGUGCAAGGUUUACUAAGUAAGAAAAGAAAAUUUCUUGGCCUUUUCGACACUUGGGGGGGGGGUCGUCCCCCUGGUAGCCCCCGAGGGGGUGCGGACUAUGAUUGGUCAUGGUCGGCAUCCCCUUUUAACGUCGAGACUAAGAUUCGUAACUCUUUUUGGGCACAAAAAGAAGUCGCUCGAGGGAAAGACUUUAUUUAUUCAUGCGUUCGUUUGCAAAAUCUUCGUACAAAACGUAGGAACGUAAGUUUAGGACUUCUAGGGGUAGAAUCGACGUAGCUGUUCGAUGUUCCAUGCGUUGGUGAAGAUUGCCCCCUUUUCGUCCGCCAGUUUGUACGUUCCUGGCUUAAGAACCUCGGCCACCACGUACGGGCCUUCCCAAGGUGGAGUCAGCUUGUGGCGUCCUUGAUUGCUUUGCCGGCGUCGUAGGACAAGGUCGCCUACGUUGAGGUCCCUCUUGCGCACGUGCUUGUCGUGGUAGCGUCGGAGUUUCUGCUGAUAUCUGGCAGAGUUGAGGAGGGCCAUGUCUCGAGCCUCCUCGAGUUGGUCGACCGCGUUUUCUUGAGUCUCUUUGUUCGAUUGCUCGUUGUAAGCCUUGAGUCGUGGUGACCCAUACUCGAGGUCUGUGGGGAGGAUAGCCUCAGAGCCGUAGACCAUGAAGAACGGGGUGUACUUUGUGGCCCUGCUUGGCGUUGUCCUAAGGCUCCAUAGAACUUAGGAAAGCUCCUCGACCCAUUUCUUGCCAAAUUUCUUCAAUCGAUUGUAGAUCCUUGGCUUGAGUCCUUGCAAAAUCAUGCCGUUGGCACGCUCGACCUGGCCGUUAGUUCGAGGGUGGGCUACUGCAGACCAGUUCACACGGAUAUGAUGCUGAUCGCAGAAAUCCAAGAAUUUUCUGCCGGUAAACUGGGUGCUGUUGUCGGUGAUGAUGACAUUGGGGAUCCCAAACCGAUGGAUGAUGUCAGUGAAGAAGAGGACGGCCUGCUCGGAGCGGAUGUUGGUGAUGGGUCGAGCCUCGAUCCAUUUGGAGAACUUGUCGAUGGCCACCAGCAAAUGGGUGUACCCUCCUUUCGCCUUUUGUAGAGGUCCUACUAAAUCGAGCCCCCAUACCGCGAACGGCCAGGUGAUGGGGAUCAUCUGAAGAGCGUGGGCGGGCAGAUGCGUCUGCUUGGCGUAGAACUGGCACCCAUGACACGAGCGUACGAGCUCGAUGGCAUCCGCCACGGCCGUUGGCCAGUAGAAGCCUUGCCGAAAAGCGUUCCCUACAAGGGUCCGUGGAGCGGCAUGGUGGCCACAAGCCCCCGAGUGCAGGUCAUCGAGGAGUUUUCGGCCUUCUUCUACGGUGAUGCAACGUUGUAAGAUCCCAGUCGGGCUCCGUCGAUAUAGUUCGUUGUCUUUGCCAUAGAUCACAUAUGAUUUGGCCCGUCGAGCGAUACGACGAGCUUCUGUCUUGUCUUCUGGCAACUCGCCGCGGAUAAGGCAGUCGAGGAACGGUGUGCGCCAAUCGAAUGGUCGACCCGGUCGUCGUUCUGUCUCCAUCAUCUGUUCCACCAUCAAGAGCGUAUCGACAGCAAUGGUUGGUUGGGCGGUGGUGGCGUCGACGCCGGCCCCCAUGCCUAGGUCGACGGAUGGCUCGUGAAGAUCCUUUGAGAAUGCAUCAGGUGGCACUGUGCCUCUGGUAGAUGCGAUCUUGGCAAGUUCGUCGGCUGCCUCGUUGUAGCGUCGAGCGACAUGGACAAGCUCGAGACCGUGGAACCUGCCCUCGAGUCGACGGACCUCCUUGCAGUAUGCUUCCAUUUUUGGGUCGUGGCAGCUCGAGGUUUUCAUUACUUGGUCGAUGACGAGUUGGGAGUCACCUCGGACGUCGAGGCGCCGGACUCCUAACUCGAUAGCGAUCUUGAGACCGUUGACGAGGGCCUCAUAUUCUGCGACAUUGUUUGAUGCGGCAAAAUGAAUCCUGAUUAUGUACCUCAUGUGGACGCCCAAAGGUGAGAUGAACAGCAGGCCGGCUCCGGCUCCAGUUUUCAUGAGUGACCCAUCGAAAUACAUCGUCCAUAGUUCCGCCUGGACCUGGGUCGGGGGGAGCUGGGUGUCCGUCCAUUCUGCGAUGAAGUCUACCAGGGCCUGCGAUUUGAUGGCCUUGCGAGGCGCAUAAGUGAGAGUCUCACUCAUGAGCUCGACCGACCAUUUUGCUAUUCUUCCCGUGGCUUCUUUGCUCUGGAUUAUUUCACCUAAAGGAAAAGACGAGACCACCGUGAUGGGGUGGCCAAGGAAGUAAUGCUGCAGCUUGCGACGGGCAAGGAUUACGGCAUAAAUCAGCUUCUGGAUUUGGGGAUAACGUGCUUUGGUCUCCGAAAGCACCUCGCUGACGAAAUACACUGGCCUCUGAACUGGUAGCGCAUGCCCCUCCUCCUGCCUCUCGACCACCACCGCCGCGCUGACGACCUGGGUCGUCGACGCGACGUAGAGGAGCAGCGGCUCUGCAGGUUGAGGUGGGACCAGGACUGGUGCCGAGGUCAGCGUCUGCUUCAGCCUUCCGAGUGCUUCCUCGGCCUCGGGGGUCCAAGAGAAGCGCUCGACCUUCUUUAGGAGUCGAUAUAAUGGUAAUGCCUUUUCUCCCAGUCUCGAGAUGAAACGGCUCAGGGCCGCCAAGCACCCCGUGACUCUCUGUACACCCUUGAUGUCUCGGAUCGGCCCCAUUUUCGUGAUGGCCGAGACUUUUUCGGGGUUGGCCUCGAUGCCGCGCUGCGAAACGAUGUAUCCUAGGAGCAUGCCUCGAGGCACACCGAAAACGCACUUCUCGGGAUUGAGCUUGAUCCGGCUGGUGCGUAGGCAGCUAAAGGCAAUCUCGAGGUCCUGGAUCAGGUCACCUCGCCGCUUUGACUUGACGACAAUGUCGUCGACGUAGGCCUCGACCGUUGACCCUAUAUGUUUGCCGAAUACGUGGAGCAUGCAACGUUGAUACGUGGCUCCGGCGUUUCGAAGCCCAAAUGGCAUGGUCACGUAGCAAUACAUCCCAAAAGGCGUGAUGAAAGAGGUCGCGAGCUGGUCGGACUCCUUCAUUUUUAUUUGGUGGUAACCAGAAUAUGCAUCGAGGAAAGAAAGGGUUUCACAUCCCGCGGUAGAAUCGACAAUCUGAUCAAUGCGUGGUAAUGGAAAGGGAACUUUUGGACAUGCUUUAUUCAGACUAGUAUAAUCGACACACAUCCUCAUUUUCCCAUUCUUUUUCUUAACUAAUACAGGGUUCGCUAACCAGUCGGGAUGAUGAACCUCCUUGAUGAAUCCGGCCGUCAAAAGCUUGUGGACUUCCUCGCCAAUGAUCUUGCGCUUCUCCUCGUCGAAUCGGCGCAACCGCUGCUUCACUGGCUUGGAACCGGCUCGAAUCUCCAAGGAGUGCUCGGCGACUUCCCUCGGUAUGCCUGGCAUGUCCGAGGGACUCCAUGCAAACAUGUCGGCAUUUGCACGGAGAAAGUCGACGAGCACGACUUCCUAUUUGGGGUCAAGGUCGGUGCUGAUCGUCAGCACUUUGCCGUCGGAGUUGUUGGGGUCGAGCGGGAUCCUCUUGGUUCCUUCCGCCGCCUCGAAGCUGCCCGCGUGGCGCUUAGGCUCUGGAGCCUCAGCGGCCAGGGCCUCGAGCUUCGCGACGAGCUCGGUGGAGUUCUCGACCGCCUCCCCGUACUCGACGCACUCGACGUCGCACUCGUAGGCAUGCUCGAAGGAGGAACUGACAGUGAUAACGCCUUUGGGACCGGGCAUCUUCAUCUUCAAGUAGGUGUAGUUGGGUAUAGCCAUGAACUUGGCGUAGCCCGGGCGCCCGAUGAUGGCGUGGUACGUGCCUCGGAACCCAACCACUUCAAAGGUGAGGGUCUCCUUCCUGAAGUUGGCCGCCGUGCCGAAGCAGACCGGUAGGUCAAUUCGACCUACUGGCAGUGCCUUUUUCCCUGGCACGACGCCAUGGAAACCGCCGGCGCUCGGCUGGAGGCGUCCUCUAUCGAUGCCGAGGAGGUCGAGGGUCUCGAGGUAGAUGAUGUUGAGGCUGCUGCCACCAUCCAUCAGCACUUUCGAGAGUCGGGUGUUGAUGAUGAUGGGGUCGACGACAAGCGGGUAGACGCCCGGGGCGACUACCUUGUCGGGGUGGUCCUCUCGGUUGAAAGUGAUAGGAGUGCUUGACCAGCUAAGGUAUUGGGGCACCGCCAUUCUUGCUGCAAAGACUUCGCGACGCUCCCUUUUGCGCUGCCUCGUGGUCAAUUGAGUCGAGGGCCCGCCGUAGAUCAUGUAGCAGUCGUGGACGGCGGGGAAGCCGUCGUCAUCUUUGUUGUCCUCCUUGCCGCCAGCCUUCUCUUUCUUGGAGUCAUCACGCGUAUCUUUUUUGAACCCCGGACCGUCGAAAUGCCUUCUCAGCAUACGGCAGUCCUUGAGCUUGUGGUUGGCGCCUCCCUUAUGGUAAGGGCACGGUUCCUCCAACAUUUUGUCGAAGAUGCCUCCAUCCGGAGGGCCUCGAGGCUUUUUUCGAUCCAUGGCGGCGACAAGGUUGUCAUCGGAACCUUCCCGGUGGAACUGUCGCGCUUUCUGCUUCUUUUUGUUUUUCUUGAGGCCUCGACUGGAGGUCCCAUCUUCGUCGAUGGGCUGCUUGCCUUUUCUUCCUUCUGAGCUGAAGAAGGCGCCGACUGCCUCCUCCCCCGCCGCGUAGUUGGCUACUACGUCCAUCAGCUCGUCGACGGUCUGAGGUCGAUUGCGACCUAAUUCCCGCACCAAGUCUCGACUGGUGGUGCCCGAGACAAACGCCAAGAUGACGUCGUGGUCAGGGAUGUGCGGCAGCUCAGUGCGCUGUUUCGAGAAGCGUCGGGCAUACUCCCGAAGAGUUUCUCCCGACUUCUGCUUGCACUUGCUUAGGUCCCACGAGUUCCCUGGCCGUAUGUAGGUCCCUUUGAAGUUACCCUCGAAGACUCUGACCAGAUCAACCCAGUUGUGGAUCUGAUUGGCAGGGAGUUCCUCGAGCCAUCGACGGGCGGUGUCAGAGAGGAAAAGGGGUAGCUGUCUGAUGAUGGCUCGAUCAUCACCUCGAGCGCCACCUAGCUGACAGGCCAGUCUGAAGUCGGCCAGCCACAACUCUGGUUUGGUCUCUCCAUUGUACUUCGCGAUGCUGGUCGGGGGUCGAAAUGGAUUGGGCAGGGGCGUGCUGCGGAUCGCCCUGCUGAACACCCGUGGGCCUGGUGGCUCGGGGGCCACCCGGUCCUCGUCGCUGUCGUAUCUCCCGCCGCGAUGCGCGCUAUAACCGCGCUCUUCCGCGUCUCCGUGCCGGCGGCGUCUAUUUUCUUUGAUGUCGUGCCGCGCGUCGUGUCGACGUUGAUUGUCGGCAGGGAGGAUGAGGGCGGUCUUUCUACCUCGAGGGGGAGGUUGUUGAUGGACUGACACCUCCUCUUCGUUUAGAGGCUGUUCGUCGCGCUUCUCUGUGGCAGCUCCUCGUCGUCGAGACGCCGAACUUUCGGCUUGUUGAACCGCUGCCACCUGGAGCAAUGUCUGUACUUCAUCUCGAAUGCGUCGGGCCUGGGAAUUCGACGGCUCUGGCAUGUUACGUAGCAGCAUCGUCGCUGCCACUACAUUUUGGCCUGCUCGAGGGAAACGGCUGACAGGUUGCUCUGGCUCUGCGUCGCCGACGAUCUGUCGAUGUACCUCUCGAGCGCGUCUGCGGACACUUCCGCCCGGCGGGUAGGGCAGGUCUUGUUCGAGGGUUUGCUCGAGCAGGACGAGACGCUCGCGGUCUUCGUCGAGCUUCAUCUUGAGCUCCCGCAGCUGCGCGAGCUGCGCGGUUCUAUCUUCUUGAGGAAGAGGGUCGAGCUGUCCGUCGUUCCCAGGCGUCCCGGGGUCUUCUCGCGCCGCGGGGGCUCGACCACCCGCAGCAGCAUCCCGUGUCUCGUCAGUGGUUUCUGCCGCCCCGUCGAUGUGAUAGCAUUCCCUUGUAGGGUCAUAGCUAUCUGUCUCGGAGUCGGAGUCCGGUUCGGCGGCGUAGAAACACCCAUGUCCUUCCUCCAGCAAUCGUUGCCUGAGGGGGGUGAUCGAGUAUCGUCCGGGGCCUAGACGACGGAGGCCUCGUACUUGGGAAAGGUCCGGCAGCUCGGACGCCGGCCGCCGCGCUUCAGAGCUACGUGGGAGGACCAUUGGUCUUUCUACGUAUGUCUGGGCAUUUGGGCAUAUCCCCCUGGCGAGCGACGCCGCGGCGUUGUCCAAUCCGAACGGCAGUGCCGCUCUUGGAGAGAACGACCCGUGUGGGAGGGGCCUAGCUGCGGUGGGGGAGAGCGCGCGAGACGCGUCCCCUCCCGUCGUUGCGCGGUGCUGAGUCGUCGCGCUUGUUGCUCCGUCAUACGGUGCUGCCGACUUGUGGCCUACGUCCUGCCUCGCACGAGUUGUUGGUCGUGCUGAAGCAGGACGGCCGCGGUGAUGCUGUCCGCGCCUCUUCUUAGGCGGGGAAGCGUGAUGGUGAGGGCGUCUCGGGGCCUUCAACCGUGCUAGCGUAACGCGGGCUCCUCCUGGUCCUUUGACUGAGAGCAAGAUCAUGUCGUAGCCGGAGCCCGUAGACAUGAACUCGAGACUCCCAAACCAAAUCACCGUGGAGCGCGGAAGCGGCGAGGCAAGAGCAGCCAUCCGGAAAGGAGUGGGAAAUCGAUGAAAAAACACGCAGGACCCCUUCCUGGCGCGCCAACUGUCGGUGUUUUUCCCCCGGGGGGUCACACCAACGAGUAAAUUUGUGUGCGUGCUCCCUUUUCCGGAUGGUGAUGCAAGAAGACACAAAGAUUUAUCCUGGUUCGGGCAAGAGAAGGCCCUACGUCCAGCGGGGGGAGAGAGUUUGUAUUAUCUUGCACCUAAGUGCUUGUACAGGGGCGAAUACAAGCGUGGUAUGAAGUGUGGAACUCUACUGCGUAUGAGCGUGGUCUUGUGUUGUCCUCCCCUUUCUAUUCCUGAGUCUCUCCUUUUAUAGCUCCAAGGAGAGACCUAGGGUACAUGCGUAGAUGUUAGAGUAGGGGUCGAUAGCCGCAUGGAGCGCCGACCUACUCGAGGCUUCCGUACGUCACGGCCUCGAGCCGUCCCAUCUUGAUAGCCCGGUGAUGAUUACGCGUGCUUCUGCGUCCUACCUUGCCCGCCGCCUUGCGCUAGUUCUGAGGUCGCACGCUUGUACGGUAUGGCGGCAGAUUCGGCGGGGUAGUUGUGGUGUUGUCGGUCGACGCCCAACUUGUCCCUAGGAAGGGACACUGUUCGGUCGAGGGUCGGACGCCAUUUAAUACGCUGAUAUCUGGAGCGCUGACCUUUGUGGCCUCGAGGGGGUCCCGAUUAGACGUUCCAUCCUUGUUUCCCGUGCCCUGGCACGCCCGGGGCCGUUCGGUGGGAAGGCUGCAAAAAGAACGAUGGGACGGAAGCCUCCCGUGGCCCAUGUGUUAGGUGGGGAAGCGUCAGGUGCAUUAAAUGCUCCGACCCGCGUGCGCGCGUCAGGCGGCGGACAGUGUCCUUGCGCUCGACGCCCCUCGGUUCGCUCGAGCCCGCUUCCGUAUUCGACGGCAGUUGCUGCUCGAGCCCUGGCCGAUUCGCUCGACAGUAUUUCCGUCUUCGAGGCUACGGCCGUCGAUGGUCGCCCGUGUGCACGGAUGGUGUCCUUAUACGCAUUGGUGAGGGUACCCCUUGUUGGUAUCCUCGACAGUAUCCUACUUGUGGAAAAAGUGUACAACCUCUGCAGAGUGUAAAUCUAUCUGGAUAGCCGUGUCCGCGGUCUCGGACGGGUUAUGGUUUGGUUUCAACAACUAGAUGGGUUGGGAUGAGUGAAAACAUGAGAGUGAGUGUGAUUUUGGAAAUAAAUGGUUGACUGCCAUUGUGUUGUGGGAACAAGGGUUCAACAACACUUAAAAUUGUGUUCAAACCCCCAUUUUUUAGAAAUACUAUCAUAUGUAGAAAAAGAGGUCUUUUACAACAGUAUUUGUGAAAUGAAACCUUGCAUGUGUAAAAAGAUAGCUUUAUGCAAAUAAAACUAAGCCUCAUCCUUGAUUUAUCCAUAUGCAUAUAUACUGUUAUCCCCUUCCGUAGGGUAAGGUUGGAUUUGUUGAGUACUUUGUACUCACCCUUGCUUUAUUAAACAGAGGAAGAUCCGGACUUCGAUCCCGAAGUGGCGUUCGAGUAAAGUCGUGUCUGCACCCAACUAAGCCUGUGGCAUUGGGACUCGUCAGAUGUUCGAUUGUGAUAUCGUUUGUUUCUGGGUCUUUUGGACCUAUGUUGUAUUUUGGUGUCUUAUUAUUAUAGCGUGCCUUCUGUGUCCACGCUUACCGAGACUACUACGCUGAAACUUAUCUGAUGUAAUAAAUGUGGUACUAGCCUCCUGGGACUAGUAUUGUAUCACAUUUGAGUUCCUGGUUUACCGGGGACGCUUCACCCCCGUAGCCUCCAAUCCAAGAGACAUAACGUGAAUUCA
rnacentral:lncRNA from 1 species